CAAGAGCGUAUAUUAAAGUUGCUGCGGUUAAAAAGCUCGUAGUUGGAUUUCAGUCUAGGAAGGUUAACUCGCCGAAAGGUUGUACGUUGAUUUUCCUCAGACUUCGUCAGAAGCUCGUGCUGCACUUAACUGUGUGGUACGAUGUUCUGACCUUUUACCUUGAGGAAAGUAGAGUGUUUCAGGCAGGCUACCCAGCUUGAAUACAUUAGCAUGGAAUAAUGAAAUGGAUCUCGGUUCGAUUUCGUUGGUUCUAGAGCUGAGGUGACGAUCAAUAGGAACAGGCGAAGGUAUUCGUACUUGAGAGUGAGGAGUGAAAUCCGAUGAUCUCUUAAAGACGAUCCGAGGCGAAAGCAUUUGUCAAGGAUGUUUUCAUUGA
rnacentral:rRNA from 1 species